rnacentral:snoRNA from 1 species
ACAUAAGGUGUGUAAUUGCUGUAAAUAUGGACAGAAAGCAAUACAUAGGCUUUAGGUGGGCAUGCUUGGAGUUACAGCAGGUCCAUAAAGAAACCUAUGGAUAGGG